rnacentral:rRNA from 1 species
AGGGAUAGGGUCGGUUCGGCCGGAUUUCACACAGGUGUUGCAUGGCUGUCGUCAGCUCGUGUCGUGAGAUGUUGGGUUAAGUCCUGCAACGAGCGUAACCCUCAUCCUUAGUUACCAUCAGGUAAUGCUGGGAACUUUAAGGAAACUGCUAGUGAUAAACUGGAGGAAGGUGGGGAUGAUGUCAAGUCAUCAUGGCCCUUAUGGAGUGGGCUACACACGUGCUACAAUGGUGGCUACAAUGGGCUGCAAAGUCGCGAGGCUAAGCUAAUCCCUUAAAAGCCAUCUCAGUUCGGAUUGUACUCUGCAACUCGAGUGCAUGAAGUUGGAAUCGCUAGUAAUCGUGGAUCAGCAUGCCACGGUGAAUACGUUCUCGGGUCUUGUACACACUGCCCGUCACGCCAUGGGAAUUGGUUUC